GCCUCGCUAGCUCAAUCGGUAGAGCAGCUGACUCUUAAUCAGUUUGUUUCAGGUUCAAGUCCUGAGCGGGGUACCA
rnacentral:tRNA from 1 species